UACGGAGGGGGCUAGCGUUGUUCGGAAUUACUGGGCGUAAAGCGCACGUAGGCGGCUUUGUAAGUCAGAGGUGAAAGCCCGGGGCUUAACCUGGGAAUGGCGGUUGAAACUGGCGAACUUGAAUCUGGCAGAGGGGGGUGGAAUUCCACGUGUAGCAGUGAAAUGCGUAGAGAUGUGGAGGAACACCGAUGGCGAAGGCAGCCCCCUGGGCUGAGAUUGACGCUCAGGCACGAAAGCGUGGGGAGCAAACAGG
rnacentral:rRNA from 1 species